AAUCAUUGUGUAAACAAAGUUUUGGGUUGGGUAAAAGCCCUACUUAUAAAGGUUUUCUGAAGGUCUGGUACUUUUAGUUGUAUCUUUUCCAAUCCAGCAUAUGUUUCAUUGUCAUGACUGAUUUAGAAGUAGAAGCUGAUGGAAUGAUGCUGUCUGAAACACACUCGCUAUUUCUACAGCUAAAAGAGACUGCAGAGAGAAAAGACUUCAUUCCUUUUAAGCAUAUUCUAGACAAGAGUCAAUCGGACCUAAUAGAUCCCUCUACUGGAUACUAUCCUAUUCAUGUCGUUUUUGAACAAAACUUUGUUGAAGCCUCAAGA